AAAAAAAUAGUGGCAUACUCCCUUCUCUCACCACCACCUUUCAUCUUCACUGUAACUCACCUUACUCCCUCAAUUCCUCACUUAGUUUCCCCCCUCCAAACAUCCCAUCCUCAAUUCCACCCUUCAUCAAUUACUCUCACCACUUCACCUUUGUACAUCACCAAUCCACCUAAUUCCCUUCACCGUCUCUCCGCGAACAACAACCAUUACCAUAAACCACCAACUUUUGUCUCCUCCCAACAACAUUCCGCCUCACUCAAUCAACCCUUCCUCCACAUGCUUCCACCUCCCACCCUAUUUCUCUCAUCAAACCACAUCUCACCAUCCUCAUCAAUUCCGUAA